UACGGGGGGGGCAAGCGUUGUUCGGAAUUACUGGGCGUAAAGGGCCAGUAGGCGGCCAACUAAGUCCGACGUGAAAUCCCAAGGCUUAACCUUGGAACUGCGUCGGAUACUGGAUGGCUUGAAUUCGGGAGAGGGAUGCAGAAUUCCAGGUGUAGCGGUGAAAUGCGUAGAUAUCUGGAGGAAUACCGGUGGCGAAGGCGGCAUCCUGGACCGACAUUGACGCUGAGGCGCGAAAGCCAGGGGAGCAAACGGG
rnacentral:rRNA from 1 species